GCAAUGCAGAAAAGAAAAAACAUAAGGAUAAACAUAUUGAGAUUUGCUCUUGCUCCAGCACAAUUCCCUGAAAGGCUUCUUCUAAGCCUGGUAUCCUGGGAGUGGCAGUGUUUUCAGCGUGGCAGACAGAGCAGUCAGGAAGCUGGGAGCCCAAACAGCGUGAGACAAAGCCACAAAACAGAGGCCGCGCAUCAGUCGAAAGUGCUCCCGGUGCCUGUGGUCCAUAGAGUGGAGUGAGUCUCUAAGCAAAUCUGGAGGGACUCUGGGAGCUGAAGAUUCAGAAUAUCUCCACUUAUUCUUGCCAUAGCCUUUGCUGCUCAACUGUUGGGUGCCAUGAUGAUGGAGUCUUGCUCUGUUGCCAGGCUGGAGUGCAGUGGCGCAAUCUCAGCUCACCGCAAACUCCGCCUCCUGGGUUCAAGUGAUUCUUCUGCCUCAGCCUCCUGAGUAGCUGGGAUUACAGGCCAGACCUGUACCGGAAGAGCAUAUGGGCACAGAAGAAGUCAGAAGUAAAGCAACAGAGGUUAGCUUCACUUUACCAGCGGAGCUCAGGGUUCAGCAGGUAGAAGAAAAGGAAGAAUUCUCAAGCCAUGUAGCUUAUCAAGACUUCCACCUGGGACCACCCAUCAUUCUGCCCUUUCGAAUUCUGAGCUGACAUCACCUCUGGGUAUAUCAAUGAACCACACAGACUCAGCCAACAGAAAACCAUGGAGAAGAGAUCUUGUUAUCAUUACUGAAAUUUUGAUUUUAAAUGGAAAGUUUGUUUUCAGCCAAGAAAAAGCUGGUGAGAAAGAAGCAAAUGAACCAAGUAUUUGUUUAUGUACUUCACAUUACAAGGCUGGUUAAAUGAUUUUAUUCAUUAGUAAUUAGUCUAUUCAACAGCACUGUGAAGUAGGUAUUAUUGCUCUCAUUGUUUAUAUUAAUCAGAGUGACACUAGGAAUACUGCUAAUAAUGGUAACUUGCAUUUCUUGGGCAUUUUCCCGGUGCUAGGAUCUGUGAACACCAAGGUAAAUUUCACUCAGAUUUGAUUUUCAAGUACAGAUGAGGAAAUUAAUGCUCAGUAAGUCCAUGUGACUUGCUAUUGUCAGACAGCCUGGGCUUGGCCAUCUGAUUAAAAAAUCAGUGGGCUUUGCAUAAUACUAAGCUGCUAUAGGUCAUGGGGCUCAGAUUGGAGAAGAAAUAUGAAAUAUUUCCAAAUGUGAACCUGAAAGAGCCAGUUCUUCAAAAUGAAUCCCAAGAGCCUAACUGAGCCUAAAUUUAAAAUAGUCAAGCAGUCAUUUGCUAAUUAGAGGUCACACAUAUCUUUUAGUUCCCAGAAAACUCAUUCCUCGGGUUUAAGGUUGGGACCUUCAGAACUCCCAAAUGUCUAAUUUGGGAACUAACCAAUCAGAGCUCACCUGCCUUGGCCAAUCAGGGAUCAACUAUAUCAACCAAUUAGAACUAAGCAAGUUUGAAUGCUUCAUUUGCAUAAAUGAACCUGAUUGGGAACCUGGGUGUGAAUUUUCUCUAUAAAAGCAAAACUCUCCCUUUGUUCUCUGGAUGGCACCUUUCCUUUACAUUGAAGGUUGCAUCUUCCAAGUUUGCAAUCACUUCUCUGGAAUAAAGUCUCUUUCCUCAAAAUUCCUUUUUAGAGAACUUUUGUUCACAUGUGCCCAGGGUAACAAAGCUAGGAAGUGGUAAGCUUGGGAGUUAACCUAGACUGGUUUACUCUCAUAUUGCUUAUGUGGUCAGAUUCACCAAAUUGGAUUUUGUUUCUUCAGAUUUUUCUUUUGCUUUUACCAAAGUUACACUGCAGUAAAGUAACUGCUUCCCUUUUUCUCAGACUAAACUUUUUACAGCCCCAAUAUUUAUUUAUUGGUGCUUCCAACACACCCUAUUAUAUUCUGCAAAUUUAUAUUCUGCAAAUCACUAUUUGGUGGAUAUUUACAAAUUCUCUACAAAUGGCUUGUAUGUGAAGACCUCAGUCAUGACCUCAGCCUGGUGGGCACCAGUUCCACUUUCUCAGAGCAGUGGAUUUGGGGGCCAGUGUGGCCUCUGUUUGCAUCUGAGGGAGGGUGGCCUCGAGACAGAUACCUGGGGUGAGAGUUACUGCUGUGGUUUCAGUCCAUUUCUUGGAAGAUGUCCUGGCUUCUCCAACUGGUGGACUCCUUGUCCUUCCCUAACAACGUGUCUCUAAUGUUUGUGUGACUCUGGGUCAUAGUUCCUUCUGUUUCAUGUACCAUGAAUGCUGUUUCUUGACUCUUUGCAUGUAAAAACUCACUCAAAGCCUAGCUCAAAUGUUACAUUUAUUUUCUGGGUUUUUAUAGUCCUUUGACUAACUCUUCACCUUUCUUCAUGUGGGCACAGUUUUUCUGAAGUAUACAGUUAGUUGAGGAGUGUUUGUCAGUCUCUCAACUUCAAAUCUCUGCUACUAGCUAUGCAAUACUGAGAAGGCCACUUAAUCCUUCCAUGCCUAUGUUUCUGUGUUGAUAAUUUUGGAGAUGAUAUUUACUUCAUGGCUAAGAAUGUUAUGCAGCAAUGUUGGUUGUGAAAGUGCUUGGCAGAUUAGAAGGUGUGGUAUUCACUGCUGGGUGGCUGAUCCAACCUUUAUUCCCAAUUCUUUCCUCCCUGGCUUCCUUUUACUCUAUAGGCUAGAAAUGCUAAAUGCUCACUCUCCAGCUUCCCUUGCAGCUAAGGCUGGCUAUGGAACCUAGGAAGAACCAAAGGAGCACACACGGAGGUCCUCUGGGAGGCUCUGCACAGUGCUUGAAGUGAAAGCAGUUAUAUGAUAGCAAUGCAACAAGUUAACACAAAAACAAUGAUCUCUAGCCUUUUUGUCAUGUGAUAUAACUAAUGUCUUUAAGCCACUAUUAUUUGUGUAUUCCAUUACUUGUGGUUAAAAAGCAUUCCUGAUAGUGUAGAUUCCCAAUAAGUGUUUACUGAAUAUGAAUCUGUAUUGCAUUGUGAGUCUUGGGGGCAAAAUUCAAUAAAAUUAUCAUCUCUGCUCUCUACA
rnacentral:lncRNA from 1 species